rnacentral:rRNA from 1 species
AUUGAACGCUGGCGGCAGGCCUAACACAUGCAAGUCGGAUGGUAGCACAGAGGAGCUUGCUCCUCGGGUGACGAGUGGCGGACGGGUGAGUAAUGUCUGGGGAUCUGCCCGUGAGAGAGGGAUAACCACUGGAAACGGUGGCUAAUACCGCAUUACGGGGCACAACCAAAGAGGGGGAGAUUGGGUCUGGUCAAUAUUGGAUGAACACAGGUAGGAUUAGCUAGUAGGCGGGGUAACGGCCCACCUAGGCGACGAUCCGUAGCUGGGCUGAGAGGAUGACCAGCCACACUGGAACUGAGACACGGUCCAGACUCCUACGGGAGGCAGCAGUGGGGAAUAUUGCACAAUGGGCGAAAGCCUGAUGCAGCCAUGCCGCGUGUAUGAAGAAGGCCUUCGGGUUGUAAAGUACUUUCAUCGGGGAAGAAGGCGAUGUGGUUAAUAACCGCAUUGGUUGGCGUUACCGGCAGAAGAAGCACCGGCUAACUCCGUGCCAGCCGCCGCGGUAA